UAAAAACCCCGACUUCGGAAGGGGUGUAUUUAUUAGAUACAAAACCAAUGCCCUUCGGGGCUCUUUGGUGAUUCAUGAUAACUAUACGAAUCGCACGGCCUUGCGCCGGCGAUGGUUCAUUCAAAUUUCUUCCCUAUCAACUUUCGAUGUUUGGGUAUUGGCCAAACAUGGUUGCAACGGGUAACGGAGGGUUAGGGCUCGACCCCGGAGAAGGAGCCUGAGAAACGGCUACUACAUCCAAGGAAGGCAGCAGGCGCGCAAAUUACCCAAUCCCGACUCGGGGAGGUAGUGACAAUAAAUACUGAUACAGGGCCCUUUCGGGCCUUGUAAUUGGAAUGAGUACAAUUUAAAUCCCUUAACGAGGAACAAUUGGAGGGCAAGUCUGGUGCCAGCAGCCGCGGUAAUUCCAGCUCCAAUAGCGUAUAUUAAAGUUGUUGUGGUUAAAAAGCUCGUAGUUGAACCUUGGGCCUGGCUGGCCGGUCCGCCUCACCGCGUGCACUGGUCCGGCCGGGCCUUUCCCUCUGUGGAACCCCAUACCCUUCACUGGGCGUGGCGGGGUAACAGGACAUUUACUUU
rnacentral:rRNA from 1 species